rnacentral:rRNA from 1 species
CAGGACGAACGCUGGGCGGCGUGCCUAACACAUGCAAGUCGAGCGGAGUUAACAAGAGGAAGUUUCGGAUGGAAUUUGUAAUUAGCGGCGGACGGGUGAGUAACGCGUGAGCGACCAACCUUGCACGAGGGGAUAACGGACCGAAAGGUUCACUAAUACCGCAUGAGACCACGGUGUUGCAUGACACAGAGGUCAAAGGAGCAAUCCGGUGCAAGACGGGCUCGCGUCCGAUUAGGUAGUUGGUGGGGUAAUGGCCCACCAAGCCUAUGAUCGGUAGCCGACCUGAGAGGGUGAUCGGCCACAUUGGAACUGAGAUACGGUCCAAACUCCUACGGGAGGCAGCAGUGGGGAAUAUUGGGCAAGUACGGGGGAAACCCUGACCCAGCAACGCCGCGUGAAGGAAGAAGGUUUUCGGAUUGUAAACUUCUGUCCUUGGUGAAGAGAAGAAGACGGUAGCCAAGGAGGAAGCCCCGGCUAACUACGUGCCAGCAGCUGC